AUUGAACGCUGGCGGCAGGCCUAACACAUGCAAGUCGAACGAGUGGCGGACGGGUGAGUAAUGUCUGGGAAACUGCCUGAUGGAGGGGGAUAACUACUGAAACGGUAGCUAAUACCCCAUACCAUCCGUAUGGCCCCGAGGGGAUUAGCCAGUUGGGGGGGUAACGGCUCACCAAGGCGACGAUCCCUAGCUGGUCUUAGAGGAUGACCAGCCACACUGGAACGGAGACACGGUCCAGACUCCUACGGGAGGCAGCAGUGGGGAAUAUUGCACAAUGGGCGCAAGCCUGAUGCAGCCAUGCCGCGUGUAUGAAGAAGGCCUUCGGGUUGUAAAGUACUUUCAGCGGGGAGGCGUUACCCGCAGAAGAAGCACCGGCUAACUCCGUGCCAGCAGCCGCGGUAAUAC
rnacentral:rRNA from 1 species